CGCUAUCACUCCUACGGGAGGCAGCAGUGGGGAAUAUUGCACAAUGGGGGAAACCCUGAUGGCAGCCAUGCCGCGUGUGUGAAGUAAGGCCUUCGGGUUGUAAAGCACUUUCAGUAGGGAGGAAGGUACGUGUAGUUAACACCUGCACUAUUUGACGUUACCUACAGAAGAAGCACCGGCUAACCGUCCGUGCCAGCAGCCGCGGUAAUACGGAGGGUGCGAGCGUUAAUCGGAAUUACUGGGCGUAAAGCGCAUGCCAGGCGGCCUGUUAAGUCAGAUGUGAAAGCCCGGGGCUUAACCUCGGAAUUGCAUUUGAAACUGGCAGGCUAGAGUCUUGUAGAGGGGGUAGAAUUUCAGGUGUAGCGGUGAAAUGCGUAGAGAUCUGAAGGAAUACCAGUGGCGAAGGCGGCCCCCUGGACAAAGACUGACGCUCAGAUGCGAAAGCGUGGGGAGCAAACAGGAUUAGAUACCCUGGUAG
rnacentral:rRNA from 1 species